AUUUCGUCGUAUUUCAACGGAAAAAAAAAACACUAGCGCUUUAUAAUAUUUUAAUAUUACUAUUAUAUUUUGCUCCCCAGAGGGUUAUUUUUUUUACGUGUUUACGGAAUAUUCAUCUGAAUAUCAGUUUCACCCGAGGGUAAAUGAUUAAACGCCAAUGCAUAAAAUGUGAAAUAAUUGUAAAACGAAUAUUAGCACAUACCUGGAAUAGGGCAAAAUAUGUUUUAAUGAUUCUAUUGAAAAAAUACAAUUUGCGGU